UAGUUAAGUGGAUAAAACUAUGGCCUUUAAAGCCAAUGGUACUGGGUUCGAGUACCAG
rnacentral:tRNA from 1 species